rnacentral:piRNA from 1 species
CAGUGAGACUAUGUAUCUGAAAACC